GGUGAUCUACUCGCCUUGGCCUCCCAAAGUGCUGGGACUACAGAUGUGAGCCACCACGCCCGGACUCUCAUUUUGUUUUAACUAAAGUUUUUAUUGAAAAAGUACAUGCAUACACAAAAUUAUGCAAAUUGUAAUCAUCCAGCUUGAUGAAUUAUCACAAAUCAAUCACCCAUGUGACCAACAGUCAUACUAAUAAAUUGAAUGUCACAUCUCUCAAACCCCUCCCAGUCAUUGCCACAUCCAUUGUUUCCAAGGAUUAACACUAGUCAGACUUCCCACAUCACUAUUAGCUUUGCCUAUUACGGUCUUUUAUAGCCACAGAAUCAGGUAUGUAUAUUCAUGUCUGAUUUCUUUCAUUCUCUUUCUGUUUCUUUCCCUAUGCCUCCUCCACCGCACAUACAACACUUCUACACUAAAUAUCCCAGUCAUUUCCUACACACUUCUGAAACAGUAUACAUUUAUUCACUUAUGAUUUAUUUUUGAUCUAUCCACAGUGUAAUAAUUUUGGACAGUAGUCUCGUCUGCCUUACUCACCACUGCAAUUUCAAUACAUAACAGUGCCUGACAUCAGUAGGUGUUCAAUAAAUAUUUGUGGAGUGCAUAAAUUAAUGAUUUGAACAUUGUCUCCAAAAUGUUUCUUUCUACAAAUAUAUGUUCUCAACAUGAAAAAGUAUUUGGCCAUAUUUAUCUGGCUUCUCUUGUUUACAAACGCUGCCAUGUCUUAAAACAAUUAGAAAUGAUCCCUUUUGAGUUUGAAGUUUGCUGUUGACAUUAGCAUAUUUUCAGAAUUGGGAGAAAUGGCUGUGAGCUCAGAAGCAGACGUUUUUCUUUGUACUUUUGUGCAGUAAUCAGCAAAUAACAUGACUGAAGGAGGCAGAGCAUCAUGCAGUAAAAUGGUGUGCAUUUUAGGAUGAGCUAUGUAUUUGAUUUGUAUAAUUUGGAAAUGGGAACUUCAGUGAUAACUUUAGUCACUGAAUAAAACAAAGCUCAUGAGACAGGUUUGGCAUACUGAGUUGGGUUUUUUACGCUAGCAAUAAAAAGGCAAUAUCUUAUUGUGUAGCCUGUAUUGUGGAUAUCUUGAGUUCUCACAUUCCAUCAACAUUUCUAUUUAAGGAGCAGGUGACUGCACACUGUAUGAGGACUUUCUACUUCUCAAUGCAUUUUAUGCCCUGUGAAAUAGCUGACUCUUUCAGUAAUAGACAAAACAGCAGGACAACAACUGACCUCCCCCUACUGCCACUUCCACAACCCACACUGAAGGACAAGGUCUACCCCAGGUGCUCACUGGGUAGAAGAGAUGCAAUACCUGGGUGCCUACUAGAGAAAAUCAAAGAGGGAGGCCACUCUGCUGUGGGAGUGACCUUUGACAUAAAAACCUACCCAGGAGCAGAGCUCAAACCAUUGGUAUUCUCUGAAUUUAAUAAACCCUUCUUCCAAAGGGAGGAACAAGAGAGGUGGUUACAGAGCCUCACAUAGCAUAACUUCAGAUGGAAACUUUCACAUCGGUUCUACAGAUGGGAUCCCUUGGAAAACAGGAUUAUUUGCCAAUACUGUCUCAAGAGCACAGAGAUGUUUGUGGAAGUUCCUAUUGUGUAAGCCAUCCCAACCUGGGCAAAGAUAAUAUUUUUCCCACUCUUAGGUUCUUCCCUAUCAUGUCUGGGGUCACUAAGCAAGUGGAUACUGCCCCUCGCCUGACUUGCUGUUUCCCUCCUGGGUAAAGUCAUCAUCUGCUGAAAUAGCAUUUGUUACCAUUCCUGCACCUGCCAUGGCCUGGCUAUCUGUGGCCAAAGCUUUAGGUAGCAUCAAUAUUUCCUUACUGUCUUCUCUUAUGCCUCUAAUUUAAAACAAGCUAAAGCAAGAAACAAAACCCAGGAAACAAGAAACAUAACGAACAUCAAAAUUGUGCUUUAAACUCUUUUUCCAUCACCCAACCCUAGGAAAGAUUUAAGCUUUUAAUUAGGUUUUUCGCAACCAAACUUCACCUUUGAGACAGAAAUAUACUGGCUAUUCACAAGACAAUAUUUUCAAAGUGUAUUUCAUGAUAGAAUAAUUGUUCAGGAUAUUAAUAGUUGUUCAAUAAAGAUAGGAUCAAAUAUCAUUAGAGGUUAUACAAAGAGAGGGUCAAUAUAUUGAAAACAUGGGGAUGAAGCAGAUUUCUUGUAGCGUGGGACUUUAUAGAACCUUAGACAUGCCCAGAUGUGUUGUGAUUCUCUAAAAAGGACUGUAGUUGGAAGUAGUUCCAAAAUCAACUUGACCACCAAGUACAGUAAUUCUAAGAGCAUCCUGUGGUUUCCAUAACACUCUUUGAUCAGUGCUGUUGUAGAGAAUAAUAAUUGAGCAAACUCUCCGUCAGUUAGCACAGCAUCAAAUUUAAUAGCAUCCUUGAUCCUUCUAUCUCCUUUGCUUAUAUAAAUUAAUAUUAAAGACCUGUUGUAGUUAGGAAGCACAUAUUUAAACAGAUAAGGAAGCAAAGACAAUGAGCCAGAAACGGUUUGAAAAGUGAUUCAAAUUGUUCUUUUUAAAAGAAUUAUCUGCCUUUGCAAGACUCAGAAACUCAAGGGAAGAUUAGUUGAUGAGACUGUCCCAUUUCAUGAUCUUUGUUUUCCCUUUGUCCAUAUUUACAGAAUUGAAGAGAUAUCAGCAAACACUAACUCAGAAUCCCAUGUACUGAACUGUUUAAAAAGAGAGUAAGUCUAUUAUGGCAAAGAUACCACAGAGGCAGAGAUGUGAACUGGAAAGGACUUUUACCUCCUCCACGCAUGAUAUGACAGGGGUGUCUGCUGCUUCAUGAUAGCCCUGUUUGUCUUAACAAAAUAUGAUGAGUAGCAAUGGAGAAUCCUGCUAGGAGCAGUAACUGAAACUUCAAAACAGAAAGAAAGAAACAAUUAUGGUUAAGGGGACUGAAUGUAAGGAAAACAUUUGUCUUCAUACUCUGCUCAAAAUGUGUGGAUGAGCAUAUGAAAAAAUCCAACCAAUAGAGCUAUCUAAAUCAUGAAAGCCUUCCAUCUGUUAAAUUUUAUUUCUUAUUAUGCUUACCAAUGCAUGCUUGUUAAAUAGCCUCUAGGCCCAUGUUAAUAUCAAGAUUAAAAACAUAAGUUAUUUUAAUAAUAUUAUCCAAGUGAGACAGGUGGCAAAUCUACCACUCAGGAAGAAAUCAAGCCUGGAAACAACAUAAUAAUCCACAGCACAACUGAGAGAAAAAUAUUCAAAAGCUUCCAACAAUUCAUGAACUUAUUAUUAAAUAAGAUAGACAAAAUAACUAUUCAGGCGGUUUGUAGUAAAUUUCUUAAUCGAAGACCAUCUUGCAGUAUUUUUUAUGCUGUGAAUCCACUGAAAUUUGGCAAAAAAAAAAAAAAGGAAAUUAACUUCUUCCUUUUUGUUCCAUUAGUUAAGUAUAACUGAGAUCUAGAUAACCUCAGAAAGCGAGGACAGUAUUUUCAUCUGCAUAGCAUUCCUUUAAGUCUGUUAUUACUCUCGAUCCUUCAGUUGAUUAUUGUUUAUUUCUGCCAAGUCAACAGAUUCCACUGUAACAGUGCUUCAGUAUGUUUUCAAAAUUUGAAUGUAUGUCUAUUUCUCUUUUCUACUGUAGGAGAUUCUAAACAUUAUUUGUGUAACAAAUCAAAGUUUUCCAAUGCCCACAGAAUACUAGAGAUGUCUUACGUUAGAAUCAUGAGAUCAAAAGUUUAGAACAUGAGGAUUCUUGGAGAUAAUCGCAUUCCCACAUUUUACCAUCAGAAAAGCAAUGAGGUGCAUUGGUAUGCAGAGUACUGGGAUUUAUCUGGCCACACCUCCAAAGGCUAAUCCAGUCCCCCAUCUUUCCACGUCUGCGUCUGCUCCCACAGCUGAUUCCACUCUUCUUCUUCUUUUUUUUUUUUGACAUGUAGUCUCAGUCUGUCACCAGGCUGGAGUGCAGUGGCGUGAUCUCGGCUCACUGCAACCUCCGCCUCCCAGAUUCACGCUAUUCUCCUGUCUCAGCCUCUCCAGUAGCUGGAACUACAGGCGUGCACCACCACGCCCAGCUAGUUUUUGUAUUUUUAGUAGACACAGAGUUUCACCAUGUUAGCCAGGAUGGUCUCUAUCUCUUGACCUCAUGAUCUGCUCCGCCUCGGCCUCCCAAAGUGCUGGGAUUACAGGCAUGAUCCACCACGCCCGAUGGACUCCCCUCUUCUUACAGCAUCAGUUCCUUCCCAGUCCUCACACCACCUGGGCUUCAGGCAAGAAGAGUUUUAAUAACCUCCUGUCUCUGGUUAGAUUGAAGACCACCAGCCGCAAUGAAUUAUGCUGAACUCCAUGGUGGUUUUGUGACAGUAACAUAUGAAGACCAGAAUGAGACCACAAAGUCCACUUGAAACUUGAAGUUAGAUUUCAGGGCUUGAUUUUUAGCAACAUGUAUGCCUAGCUGGAUGCAGCAGUCUCCAGAUGUAUUUGACAGAUAUUGUAUCCCUGCUUUUGCAAUCCUUCAGCUUGUGGUGGUUAUUUUUUUUCCCUAGAGCAUCUCAAAAUUGUAAUUAGAUUCCUUGUUGUUGAUGGCAUAAAUGGGUUUCAAAAAGUGCUUGUAGCCUUGUUUAAUUUCCUAAUGAAUAAAACCAACAGCACACGCUUAAGACAAAAGAUCUUAAUCAUUUAUUAAACAUUUACCUGAUAUCCAAGUUUCUAUUAAAAUUGUUUUACUAUUAUUCAUAGCUUUUGACAAACCAAUAAAUAAGAGACCCUUACCCCUGUUUCAGAAGUUCUUUGACUUGCAAACUCAAGUUAUAGAUUAUAAUCAGUAAAAGAUGAUUCAUUCUCUUCAUUUUCACACACACUCAAAACAGUAUCUCUCACUCCUUGUCAGUCUCAAAUGCAGGCUUAGUAUGCCUACAGGUCAUUCCUUGUCUUCUUGCAAACUUAUUUUCUUUGACUCAGUGUUCCCAAUGAGCGAGGAAUGACCUUAAUCUGUGAUGGAAAACAUGACACAGCAGGUAUCACUCAGAUGACUGAAUAUCUCUGAAUAUAUAAUAUGCACGCAAUGUCUACUACACAGGGAUAUAAAAAAGAUUGCUAGACAGAAAGAAAGCUUCAAGCAGCAAAGCUUCAAACUUUUGAUAGCAAUUUUAUAACGUCUUCACAUCCCCUUAAAAUUUAGACCAAACAAUUAAAAGAC
rnacentral:lncRNA from 1 species